GCCCGGCCCCGGGGCCGCUAUUUUUAGUGGGGCCGGAUUCCUGCCCGGCCCUGUCCCCGUCCCCUGCGGCACCGGACAGCUGGGGACAGCCGGGGACAGCUCGGCUUUCGGCGGCCAGCCCUCUGCCCCGGGCACCGCGCUGCGGGACAGCGGCUGAGUCAGUGGGUGAUGAUGAAACACGGCGUGGGAUGAAGGCUCAUGCCCACCGCACGUGGUGCCUGCGGAUCAAGCGCGGGACCACUGAAUGGAAACGGAAUGGGGAAGGAGAGAUUCUCUGGUUCAGCUGAGCCAGCAUUGUCAGAAGCAGCUUAUGAACCCCAGCAAGAUUUCAGUUGUCCAAUACAACUUAGCCCUGAUUUUCAAA